GGGAAACCAACUGACAUGGAAACAAUGGAACAAAUGUAUCACUAUCAGAGGGGUGUAUUAUGACAUCAUAUAGAACUACUCAGACAUUCCAAAUAUCACUUGAUUAUCAGAGGGGUGAAUUAUGACAUCAUAUAGAACUACUCAGAACUACUCAGACAUUCCAAAUAUCACUUGAUUAUCAGAGGGGUGAAUUAUGACAUCAGAUAGAACUACUUGUUAUUAUUUAUAUAAUAACCAUCAUAUCUUAGUUAACUUGGAGUCACAUGAUGAUAUGUUGUCAGGUCCUCCCACUAUGACUUGGGAACCUAUGUAGUUUAUUAGGCUACAGAUGAAAUAAGUUAUGAACUUCACAGGGUGGUGAAACUACAUGUGAUGAGCUUGAUGCUCCUUUCCAAUACAUUUUGAGGUUCUUAUUCUGGUGACAUGAUGAUCGAUGCUUGGUUGCCAUUUGACAAAUAAAAUAAUAAUCUCAUAAUUUGGGUAACAACGUUUAUUCAACCAGUGGGAGGCUUGUAAAUGCCCCCAGGAAAGUGGAAAGAGGAACUCUUCAUUGAGACAAUAAUAAACAGCAAUCCAUGGGCGAGUUGUGGUGGAUAUUAUAAACUAAGGAUCUGCUGGAGUCCAAGUCAAACCAAGAUUCUUUAUUUCUGAGCUCAGAGAGAAUAACAGAGUUACACAGCGCAGUGUAGACAGUCUGAAUUCCUGAAGCAUUGAGUGAUUAGCAAAUAUCUUUAUAGUUUCCUGUUCCUGGGCGGGACUUUAUUCAUACAAGGACACAGGUGCAAAUUGGUUUGCAACACAGGAUGAUAGUCCCAAAAACAGGAGCUUAUAAUAGGACAGUUUCACAAGGUUAGUCACAUACUCAGUUAUGUGGACACACAAACAAUUAACAUUUUCCAUUACAGAGUCUGAACAUUUUCAUUUCAUUAAAUCAUCAGUGGGCCAACAAUGCAAAUGUCAACAAUGGAACAAAUGCAUCACAUCCAAAUAUCACUUGAUUAUCUGUAGUGCUGGAGGAAUGACACACCCAGAUAAACACACAGUUUUAAAAAAGGACAAUUUAAAACAAGGAACCUGAUCUCCUUUAUAUUCAAACUGAAAGACUCCAUAUUCACUUCAUGUUUUCUAAUAGAAAAAAACAAAUAUAUGUUUGAGUAUACCCUGUACCAUUUAAUUUCAUAUGGUAAAGACAGGUAAACACAUUGUCAGUCAACAAUAUAAGACAACGGGAGCACUGUGUAUGUUCUCCGAUGAUUUUUAAGUCAAUGUGAUGUGAAAUAUCAACAUACACACUAAGAGAAGUAAUUUCUCUCUCCUGUGUGGAUUCUCUAAUGACGUUUAAGUGACUUAUGAGUAAUAUGUUUUCCCACAGUCUGAGCUUUUCUAAGCCUUCUCCUUUGUGUGCAGUCUAAUGUGUUCUUUCAGGCUUCCUAAAUGG
rnacentral:lncRNA from 13 species